UCUGGCUCAGAAUGAACGCUGGCGGCGUGCUUACACAUGCAAGUCGAACGAGAAAUUCCAGCUUGCUGGAAAGAGUAGAGUGGCGCACGGGUGCGUAACGCGUGGGUAAUCUACCCUUGAGACGGGGAUAACAUUGCGAAAGCGAUGCUAAUACCCGGUAAGGUCCGGUCUGCUUUGGCAGGUCGGAUGAAAGAUGGCCUCUUCUAGAAAGCCAUUGUUUGGGGAUGAGCCCGCGUACCAUUAGCUUGUUGGUGGGGUAAAGGCCUACCAAGGCGAUGAUGGUUAGCUGGUCUGAGAGGAUGAUCAGCCACACUGGAACUGACACACGGUCCAGACUCCUACGGGAGGCAGCAGUGAGGAAUUUUGCGCAAUGGGGGCAACCCUGACGCAGCAACGCCGCGUGAGUGAAGAAGGCUUUUGGGUCGUAAAGCUCUGUCAUGUGGGAAGAAAUGCCGACAAGUUAAGAUCUUGUUGGUUUGACGGUACCACAGAAGGAAGCACCGGCUAACUCCGUGCCAGCAGCCGCGGUAAUACGGGGGGUGCAAGCGUUAUUCGGAAUUAUUGGGCGUAAAGGGCGCGUAGGCGGUUAUUCAAGUCAGCUGUGAAAGCCCGGGGCUCAACCCCGGAAGAGCAGUUGAAACUGGAUGACUUGAGUAUGGGAGAGGGAAGUGGAAUUCCUGGUGUAGAGGUGAAAUUCGUAGAUAUCAGGAGGAACACCGGAGGCGAAGGCGACUUCCUGGACCAAUACUGACGCUGAGGCGCGAAGGCGUGGGUAGCGAACAGGAUUAGAUACCCUGGUAGUCCACGCAGUAAACGAUGAUCACUAGGUGUAGCGGGUAUUGACCCCUGCUGUGCCGGAGCUAACGCAUUAAGUGAUCCGNCUGGGGAGUACGAUCGCAAGAUUAAAACUCAAAGGAAUUGACGGGGGCCCGCACAAGCGGUGGAGCCUGUGGUUUAAUUCGACGCAACGCGAAGAACCUUACCU
rnacentral:rRNA from 1 species